rnacentral:rRNA from 1 species
GGAUUAGAUACCCUGGUAGUCCACACCGUAAACGCUGUCUACUAGCUGUGUGUGUCUUUAAGACGUGCGUAGCGAAGCUAACGCGCUAAGUAGACCGCCUGGGGAGUACGGCCGCAAGGUUAAAACUCAAAUGAAUUGACGGGGGCCCGCACAAGCGGUGGAGCAUGUGGUUUAAUUCGAUGCAACGCGAAGAACCUUACCUACACUUGACAUGCAGAGAACUUUCUAGAGAUAGAUUGGUGCCUUCGGGAACUCUGACACAGGUGCUGCAUGGCUGUCGUCAGCUCGUGCCG